GCCCGGAUAGCUCAGUCGGUAGAGCAGGGGAUUGAAAAUCCCCGUGUCCUUGGUUCGAUUCCGAGUCCGGGCAC
rnacentral:tRNA from 4 species